CAUAUGAUACAAAUGCAAGCUUGAGAUUAUGCUUGUAGAAAAGAUCUUAAUGCUCAAAGAUUACACACUUUAGUAAGAAGAAGUCCUCUUCAAAUUAAUUAAAGAAAAAGUUUUCUAAGAUUUUUGACAAAGGAUAGAAUAAAAGAGUCAACUUUGAGACACUUGAGCCAACAAUAGCAUACCUCAAGAAAAUUUGCACAACUCAUG
rnacentral:lncRNA from 1 species